UACGAGGUCUGUCCGGAAAGUUCGUAUAAAAGUGUUCUGGAAUGCGAGAAAGAGGAGUGGGGAGGCCAGGUAAGCGCAGGACCCCUUCCUUAUGUCCCUAACAAUGCUUCAGUUCUGGUCUGACCGCCGUGCGGUGCGAACUGGCUUAUCACGCCAUCUGUGAAGUUACCUCUUAACGAAACCCCGUCGGCAUGGAGCCCGCUUCCGUUGAAGAGCAGCGCGUCGUAAUCAAGUUUCUCUCGAAACUCGGCAAGAAUGGCCGUGAAAUUUUUGCCGAUCUCAGAACAGUUUAUGGGGAUGAUGCUGUGAAGGAACCAACCGUCCACAAGUGGCUAAAAAGAUUCAGAGAGGGCCGAGAAAGCGUUCAAGAUGACCCACGUUCAGGACGUCCUUCCACUUCACAUUCCGACGAAAACGUGGAAAGAAUUCGAACUUGUGUUAAUGGGGACCGUCGUUUAACGGUCAGACAGGUGGCUGAAGAGCUUAAUUUGGGCAAAACCGUGGUCCACGAAAUUCUAAGAAACGAACUUCAAAUGAAAAAAAUUUGCGCCAAGAUCGUUCCGUGAGUUUUUGAGUAAAAAUUCCAUUACGGUGACCGAACACCCCCCCUAUUCGCCGGAUUUGGCCCCGUGUGACUUCUUCUUGUUCCCAAAAACCAAAUUGGUACUUCGGGGGCGGCAUUUGGGGGACAUAAAUGAGAUAAAAAAAGCUACGACGGGGCAGCUGAGAAACCUACAACCAGAGGACUUUCAAGGAGCCUUCUCACAGUGGAAACGGCGUUGGCACAAGUGCAUUAUGUCACAGGGGGAGUACUUUGAAGGGGAUAAAAUUGAUUUACCUGAAUAAUUGUAAAAUAAAAUUUUUAAAAAACUUUUAUACGUACUUUCCGGACAAACCUCGUAUUAUUUCAUAAUGGAUUAUCCAUUAUGAAAUUAUAAUGGUAUUGCAGACGUCCAUAGGCUACAGUGUGACGUUUACCAUCAGACGGGCUGUAUGCUUGUUUGAAUUUGCCGUCUUGCUUUUGUUGUUAAAAAAAAAGUUGAAAAAGUCGACAUUUGUCAAUGUACCUUUGCUGUUAAAAAUAUAGUAAGCUCUUCCUCCCCCGUUGGAGCGUUGGCUAAUUAAUUCGGAGCGGUCCAUGCCGGCGGAACCCUAAUUUAUGCGCGGACACGAACCCCAGUGCUGUCACCUCGGGAUACGUCAACUAUCCUGUGACCCCGCGGGUUGGCGAGGCUCGUGCUGAAAAUCAGCGCUGUAGUGUCCCUGAUACUACAGCAUAAUGCUGAGCAUGGACCUCAUUUUGCAGGUAUUGCGACGCACGCACACAUACACUCAUUUUGGAUGAAACUGUUAC